UACGUAGGUGGCAAGCGUUGUCCGGAUUUACUGGGCGUAAAGGAUGCGUAGGUGGAUAUUUAAGUGGGAUGUGAAAUACCCGGGCUUAACCUGGGUGCUGCAUUCCAAACUGGAUAUCUAGAGUGCAGGAGAGGUAAGUGGAAUUCCUAGUGUAGCGGUGAAAUGCGUAGAGAUUAGGAAGAACACCAGUGGCGAAGGCGACUUACUGGACUGUAACUGACACUGAGGCAUGAAAGCGUGGGGAGCAAACAGGAUUAGAUACCCUGGUAGUCCACGCCGUAAACGAUGGGUACUAGGUGUGGGAGUUGUCAUGACUUCCGUGCCGCCGUUAACACAAUAAGUACCCCGCCUGGGGAGUACGGUCGCAAGAUUAAA
rnacentral:rRNA from 1 species